AAUUAACAUAAACUUCGAUGAGUUGGUGACAAUUUUUCACGAAUUUUACAUAACAGGGAGAUGAAGUUAGACGAACUAUUAUAAUGGAUGGUGCCUAGCAGGGAAACAAGACACCACCGAGGUACAGACACUUCAGCAUAUUAAAGACGAGAGAUCAACCAUGCGUAUAGUGAGUAAGCCUUUUCGCGGGGUGGGAAACGAGAAUGCCUCUGCUUGUUCAAUCCUUAUCUUGCUGUGAUCCUUCACGUCGCCUUUGAACUGGUUCAAUAUCUCAGCUCAGCAAAUGUUAACUAUCUAUCCUUCAUAACUGAUCCACUGCUUAGAAACUUCACGAUAUCAUACGGCUCCAGAAUUUCAUGAGAUUUCUGAUGUCUGUCCCGUGAUAAGCAAUAAAACAGAAGCUUCAGAAUAAGUGAGAGGGGAUAGCAGAGCUUCCUGUCUAAUGGAAUUGGACAGUUCCAACAUAACAUAUGUAUAAACAUUGGAGUUCGUCACAACCUUAUUGACAGUAUUUUAGGGGCCUGCGGUUAUCACAAAGAACUCAUCAAGGUUAUGAGAUAAUAUGUUACGAAGCAUAUAAGUAGUUGUUGUGCUGAUGUAAAAUGAUAUCAGAUGAAUAUAUGAAAUCUUCGUAUAUGUUUUCCUUCUGAA